GACGAACGCUGGCGGCGUGCUUAACACAUGCAAGUCGAACGAAGUGGCGAACGGGUGAGUAACGCGUAAUCAACCUGCCCUUCAGAGGGGGACAACAGUUGGAAACGACUGCUAAUACCGCAUACUGAAGGAGGGGAUUGCGUUUGAUUAGCUAGUUGGAGGGGUAACGACCCCACAAGGGGAUGCUAAGUAGCCGUGCUGACAGGAUGAACGGCCCAAUUGGGACUCAGACACGGCCCAGACUCCUACGGGAUGCAUCAGUGGGGAAUCUUCCGCAAUGGACGAAAGUCUGACGGAGCAACGCCGCGUGAGUGAUGACGGCCUUCGGGUUGUAAAGCUCUGUUAAUCGGGACGCGGUACCGGAAUAGAAAGCCACGGCUAACUACGUGCCAGCAGCCGCGGUAAUUC
rnacentral:rRNA from 1 species